CUGCAGCCGGCGGUAACGAGCAUUGAUUGCUCUGGGCUGAGCUGCCAGAAUUUGCUGCUGGUUGGGAAGGGCGGCGAGUGCUGGUGACUGCCUGGGACUGGGGAGCAGGGAGAAGCAGAGCAAAACUAUCCUGUCACGGACAAUAACCAAGGGACACCAGGAAUCCCGAGUGCUGAGACAGACUUCAGCCAUGCUCCAAGUUACUGUAAGUAACAGAUAAAGAUAUGCGACUCGAGCUAAAAACAGGGGUAUGGCAAUGCAGGUAUUAGGGUAGCUCCUGAGUAGUGCCUCUGUUCUCCAGUCAAAGCCAAACACACCUUUGCCCCCCAACACUUUUUUUUAGUCCUUGUUUUUUUUGCUGAAUCAGUCUUGUGGGCCUGUGCAUUACAGAAAUACUAUCGUGGCUAAUCUGUUUAAUGCUUGAUUACGUAUCCCCGCUGCCUAUGAACAAAGAGGUUCCUAAUGCAUGGCCAAACUUGCCCUUCUGUCAGGAACUGUGUUCCUGAAGGCCUUGGGAUUCCCCUGUGAGUGUCCCCUGUAACUCCCGGGUGUAUGCUGCAUGCAAAAUACACAGUCCACAUCCUCACCUAUGUUCCUGUAACUGCUGUUCCAAGCUUCGGGGGAGUUCUUUGCAGUACAGCUGGCAAGUGUUUUGGGCUUUGGAGAGCAGGCUGGAUUUCUGUAAGGGCACCAAAGGAUUGUUACUGGAGGGGUUCUUGAAUGCCCUUGAAUCCAGGAGGAGACCAAACUGAGUGAAAGGCUCAGCUGUAUCACAUUGCAGUAUAUGAAUUCUGGGCUCACAUUCUCAAAGAGAUUGCACCAAUCUUGACAUUGCAAGUGAAGAUACUAAGCACUGGCUGAAAAACUGGGUGCUGAUCAGGAAUAAGGGUCGUGUGGUAGUAGCACCACAUGCCUGUAACUAAACAGCUCCCAAAUUAAGUAAUCUGUGCUACAAUUUAAGUCCAUGGCAGGAGCAGGUGCUCUGCCCCUCCUGAAAAUUAAGUCCCACAUCUCAAAAAUGGGCACCCCAAAAACAGCACCACCCCAAAUGAGAGCACAUGCAAAAAAAAAAGGAAGAAAAGAAGGCUGCUGACUGCCCUUGCCAGAUCUUAAAGGUUCCACAAACAGUCAAGUAGCUUGUCAUGAAUUUAAAAUAGCUUCUGGGUGUGCUUUUGUGCAGAUAUUUAUCAGACAAGCUGCAAAAGACUUUUUUUUUUUUUUUUUUUAUAACAGAACUUGGGUUCUUAAAGGAAAGCAGUAAAAAUAAAGAGGAAUGAUCAACUGA